AGAGUUUGAUCCUGGCUCAGGAUGAACUUUGGGGGCGUGCCUAACACAUGCAAGUCGAACGGAGCCUUAACCAAAGAAGCAGCCAGCUUGCUGGAAGCGGAAAAGGGAAAGGCUUAGUGGCGGACGGGUGAGUAACGCGUGGGUAACCUGGCCCAUACAGGGGGAUAACACUUAGAAAUAGGUGCUAAUACCGCAUAACAACAGAAAGCGCAUGCUUUUUGUUUGAAAACCAAGGUGGUAUGGGAUGGACCCGCGUCUGAUUAGCUGGUUGGCGGGGUAAAGGCCCACCAAGGCGACGAUCAGUAGCCGGCCUGAGAGGGUGGACGGCCACAUUGGGACUGAGACACGGCCCAAACUCCUACGGGAGGCAGCAGUGGGGAAUAUUGCACAAUGGGGGAAACCCUGAUGCAGCGACGCCGCGUGAGUGAAGAAGUAAUUCGUUAUGUAAAGCUCUAUCAGCAGGGAAGAAAAUGACGGUACCUGAGUAAGAAGCCCCGGCUAACUACGUGCCAGCAGCCGCGGUAAUACGUAGGGGGCAAGCGUUAUCCGGAUUUACUGGGUGUAAAGGGAGCGUAGACGGCAGUGCAAGUCUGGAGUGAAAGGCGGGGGCUCAACCCCCGGACUGCCCUGGAAACUGUACGGCUGGAGUGCAGGAGAGGUAAGUGGAAUUCCUAGUGUAGCGGUGAAAUGCGUAGAUAUUAGGAGGAACACCAGUGGCGAAGGCGGCUUACUGGACUGUAACUGACGUUGAGGCUCGAAAGCGUGGGGAGCAAACAGAAGGAGAUACCCUGGUAGUCCACCCCGUAAACAGAUAUCCCUUGGGUGUUGGGGGUUAAAGACCUUUCGGUGCGGCAGCCCAACGUAGUAAGUGAUCCCACCUGGGGAGUACGUUCGCGAGAAGAAAAUUCAAGGGAAUUGACGGGGACCCGCACAAGCGGUGGAGCAUGUGGUUUAUUUCGAAGCAACGCGAAGAACCUUACCAGGCCUUGACAUCCCCCUGAAUGGGUGGUAAUGCAUCCAGCCCUUCGGGGCAGGGGAGACAGGUGGUGCAUGGUUGUCGUCAGCUCGUGUCGUGAGAUGUUGGGUUAAGUCCCGCAACGAGCGCAACCCCUAUCCUUAGUAGCCAGCGAGCAAGACGGGCACUCUAGGGAGACUGCCGGGGAUAACCCGGAGGAAGGUGGGGAUGACGUCAAAUCAUCAUGCCCCUUAUGGCCUGGGCUACACACGUGCUACAAUGGCGUAAACAAAGGGAAGCGAAGGCGUGAGCGUAAGCAAAACCCAAAAAUAACGUCCCAGUUCGGAUUGUAGUCUGCAACCCGACUACAUGAAGCUGGAAUCGCUAGUAAUCGCGGAUCAGAAUGCCGCGGUGAAUACGUUCCCGGGUCUUGCACUCACAGCCCGUCA
rnacentral:rRNA from 1 species